ACGCGUAUGCAACCUACCUUAUACUGGGGUAUAGCCCGGAGAAAUUCGGAUUAAUCCCCCAUAGUACUGUUUUACCGCAUGGUAAGACAGUUAAAGCAUUGCGGUAUAAGAUGGGCAUGCGUCCUAUUAGCUAGAUGGUGAGGUAACGGCUCACCAUGGCUACGAUAGGUAGGGGGCCUGAGAGGGUGGUCCCCCACACUGGUACUGAGACACGGACCAGACUCCUACGGGAGGCAGCAGUGAGGAAUAUUGGUCAAUGGGCGCAAGCCUGAACCAGCCAUGCCGCGUGCAGGAAGAAUGCCCUAUGGGUUGUAAACUGCUUUUAUUUGGGAAUAAACCUCUUUACGUGUAGAGAGCUGAAGGUACCAAAUGAAUAAGCACCGGCUAACUCCGUGCCAGCAGCCGCGGUAAUACGGAGGGUGCAAGCGUUAUCCGGAAUCAUUGGGUUUAAAGGGUCCGCAGGCGGAUUUAUAAGUCAGUGGUGAAAUCCUAUCGCUUAACGAUAGAACUGCCAUUGAUACUGUAAGUCUUGAAUUCGGUCGGAGUGGGCGGAAUGUGUAGUGUAGCGGUGAAAUGCAUAGAUAUUACACAGAACACCGAUAGCGAAGGCAGCUCACUAGGCCUGAAUUGACGCUCAGGGACGAAAGCGUGGGGAUCAAACAGGAUUAGAUACCCUGGUAGUCCACGCUGUAAACGAUGAUUACUCGUUUUCGGCGAUAUACAGUC
rnacentral:rRNA from 1 species